UGGGGAAUAUUGCACAAUGGGCGCAAGCCUGAUGCAGCAACGCCGCGUGAGGGACGACGGCCUUCGGGUUGUAAACCUCUUUUAGUAGGGAAGAAGCGAAAGUGACGGUACCUGCAGAAAAAAGCACCGGCUAACUACGUGCCAGCAGCCGCGGUAAUACGUAGGGUGCGAGCGUUGUCCGGAAUUAUUGGGCGUAAAGAGCUCGUAGGCGGUCUGUCGCGUCUGCUGUGAAAAACCCGAGGCUCAACCUCGGGCCUGUAGUGGGUACGGGCAGACUAGAGUGCGGUAGGGGAGAAUGGAAUUCCUGGUGUAGCGGUGGAAUGCGCAGAUAUCAGGAGGAACACCGAUGGCGAAGGCAGUUCUCUGGGCCGUAACUGACGCUGAGGAGCGAAAGCGUGGGGAGCGAACAGGAUUAGAUACCCUGGUAGUCCACGCCGUAAAACGUUGGGCGCUAGAUGUGGGGACCAUUCCACGGUUUCCGUGUCGCAGCUAACGCAUUAAGCGCCCCGCCUGGGGGAGUACGGCCGCAAGGCUAAAA
rnacentral:rRNA from 1 species